GUAUUCAAAACAGCCAAGAGGGGAAAACAACCUAAAUGUCCACUGAAGGUUAAAUCAAUAAUAAAAAAAAACAUGGUAUAUAUAUAUAUGCAAUAGAAUAUUAUGCAGGCUUAAAAAUUAGGAACACCUUGCCGCAUGCCGCAAUGUGAAUAAACUUUGAGGACAUCAUGGGAAGUAAAAUAAGCCAGUCACAGUAAGACAAAUACUACAUGUUUCCACUUAUAUGAGAUACCUAAAGUAGUCAAACUCAGAAGCAGAAAGUGGAGUGGUAGUUUUCAGAGGAUGGGAGGAGGAGAAAAUAGUGAGUUGCUCUUCAAUGAGUAUAGAGUU
rnacentral:lncRNA from 10 species